GAGUUUGAUCAUGGUUCAGGACGAACGCUGGCGGUAUGCUUAACACAUGCAAGUCGAACGAGACAAGAUGGAAGUGCUUGCACGGAAAUCUUAGAAAGUGGCGAACGGGUGAGUAACGCGUGGGUAACCUGCCCUAUGGAAAGGAAUAGCCUCGGGAAACUGGGAGUAAUGCCUUAUAAUACAUUGAAGUCGCAUGGCUUUGAUGUUAAACGCUCCGGUGCCAUAGGAUGGACCCGCGUCCCAUUAGCUAGUUGGUGAGAUAACAGCCCACCAAGGCGACGAUGGGUAACCGGUCUGAGAGGGCGAACGGUCACACUGGAACUGAGACACGGUCCAGACUCCUACGGGAGGCAGCAGUGGGGAAUAUUGCGCAAUGGGGGAAACCCUGACGCAGCAAUACCGCGUGAGUGAAGAAGGUUUUCGGAUCGUAAAGCUCUGUUAUUGGGGAAGAAAAAAAGACGGUACCCAAAG
rnacentral:rRNA from 1 species